rnacentral:rRNA from 1 species
AGAACGAACGCUGGCGGCAGGCCUAACACAUGCAAGUCGAACGCCCCGCAAGGGGAGUGGCAGACGGGUGAGUAACACGUGGGAACAUACCCUUCGGUUCGGAAUAACUCAGGGAAACUUGAGCUAAUACCGGAUACGUCCAGAGUUUAAUCGGCUUUGGAGAAAGAUUUAUCGCCGAAGGAUUGGCCCGCGUCCGAUUAGCUAGUUGGUGAGGUAAUGGCUCACCAAGGCGACGAUCGGUAGCUGGUCUGAGAGGAUGAUCAGCCACAUUGGGACUGAGACACGGCCCAAACUCCUACGGGAGGCAGCAGUGGGGAAUAUUGGACAAUGGGCGCAAGCCUGAUCCAGCCAUGCCGCGUGAGUGAUGACGGCCUUAGGGUUGUAAAGCUCUUUCGUCAGGGACGAUAAUGACGGUACCUGAAGAAGAAGCCCGGCUAACUUCGCGCCAGCAGCCGC